rnacentral:RNase_P_RNA from 1 species
AGAGUCGCCCGGAUCACCGCGUUGCGCCCAGAUUAAUUUCUAGGUGGACCGAGGAAAGUCCGGACUUCGCAGAGCAAGGUGGUGGGUAACACCCACCCGGAGAAAUCCGCGGGAUUAGUGCCACAGAAAAUAGACCGCACAUGAAAAUGUGUAAGGGUGAAACGGUGGUGUAAGAGACCACCAGUAUUUGUAGUGAUG